CAUAAGGGAACGAAGGCUAAGAACAUCACAUCCUGUGAUAACGCCUUCGUGACCAACAUCCUGUUGC
rnacentral:sRNA from 1 species